UGAUUAAAAUCAAUUAUCAGUAUUUUGAAAGUAUUGACUAGGCUUAUCAUUAGUCUUUGAUUUUU
rnacentral:tRNA from 1 species